rnacentral:rRNA from 1 species
AAUCAACGCUGGCGGCGUGCCUAACACAUGCAAGUCGAACGAGAAAGUGGAGCAAUCCACAAGUAAAGUGGCGCACGGGUGAGUAACACGUGACUAACCUACCCUUGAGUGGGGGAUAACCUAGGGAAACCUGGGCUAAUACCGCAUAAUACCUAUGGGUCAAAGGAGCAAUUCGCUUUUGGAGGGGGUCGCGGCAGAUUAGUUAGUUGGCAGGGUAAUGGCCUACCAAGGCGAUGAUCUGUAUCCGGCCUGAGAGGGCGCACGGACACACUGGAACUGAAACACGGUCCAGACUCCUACGGGAGGCAGCAGUGGGGAAUUUUGCGCAAUGGGGGAAACCCUGACGCAGCAACGCCGCGUGGAGGAUGAAGACCCUUGGGUCGUAAACUCCUUUCGAUCGGGACGAUAAUGACGGUACCGGAAGAAGAAGCCCCGCUAACUUCGUGCC